rnacentral:rRNA from 1 species
GUGUCAGCCGCCGCGGUAAUACGAGAGGCCCAAACGUUAUUCGGAUUUACUGGGCUUAAAGAGUUCGUAGGCGGCGCGGAAAGUAGGGUGUGAAAGCCCUCGGCUUAACCGAGGAAUUGCGCCCUAAACUGUCGCGCUCGAGGAACCUAGAGGUGAGCAGAACUGAUGGUGGAGCGGUGAAAUGCGUUGAUAUCAUCAGGAAUACCGGAGGCGAAGGCGGCUCACUGGGGGUUAUCUGACGCUGAGGAACGAAAGCCAGGGGAGCAAACGGGAUUAGAAACCCGGGUAGUCC